rnacentral:rRNA from 1 species
AUUGAACGCUGGCGGCAGGCCUAACACAUGCAAGUCGAACGAGUGGCGGACGGGUGAGUAAUGUCUGGGACACUGCCCGAUGGAGGGGGAUAACUACUGGAAACGGUAGCUAAUACCGCAUACCAUCGGCUUUGCCCAGAUGGGAUUUGCUAGUAGGUGGGGUAACGGCUCACCUAGGCGACGAUCCCUAGAUGGUCGGAGAGGAUGACCAGCCACACUGGAACUGAGACACGGUCCAGACUCCGACGGGAGGCAGAAGAGGGGAAUAUUGCACAAUGGGCGCAAGCCUGAUGCAGCCAUGCCGCGUGUAUGAAGAAGUCCUUCGGGUUGUAAAGUACUUUCAGCGAGGAGGCGUUACUCGCAGAAGAAGCACCGGCGAACUCCGUGCCAGCAGCCGCGGUAAUAC